rnacentral:rRNA from 1 species
GACAGAGGGUGCAACCGUUGUUCGGAAUUACUGGGCGUAAAGCGCGUGUAGGCGGCUUGGCAAGUCGGGUGUGAAAGCCCUGGGCUUAACCUAGGAAGUGCACUCGAAACUGCCGAGCUUGAGUUCUGGAGAGGAAGGCGGAAUUCUCGGUGUAGAGGUGAAAUUCGUAGAUAUCGAGAGGAACACCGGUGGCGAAGGCGGCCUUCUGGACAGCAACUGACGCUGAGACGCGAAAGCGUGGGGAGCAAACAGG